rnacentral:rRNA from 1 species
AUUGAACGCUGGCGGCAGGCCUAACACAUGCAAGUCGAACGAGUGGCGGACGGGUGAGUAAUGUCUGGGAAACUGCCUGAUGGAGGGGGAUAACUACUGGAAACGGUCGAUAAUACCGCAUACCAUCGGAUGUGCCCAGAUGGGAUUCGCGUGUUGGUGGGGUAACGGCUCACCAAGGCGACGAUCCCUAGCUGGUCUGAGAGGAUGACCAGCCACACGGGGACUGAGACACGGUCCAGACGCCUACGGGAGGCAGCAGUGGGGAAUAUUGCACAAUGGGCGCAAGCCUGAUGCAGCCAUGCCGCGUGUAUGAAGAAGGCCUUCGGGUUGUAAAGCACUUUCAGCGGGGAGGCGUUACCCGCAGAAGAAGCACCGGCUAACUCCGUGCCAGCAGCCGCGGUAAUUC